AGACUUCUGAUGAUGCCUCUGUGGAUUCUAGAGACCAAUCCAGUCAAGACUCAAAGCUUGAAUUCUCAGAGGAUGAAGAAACCCUUAUAACUAGGAUGUUCAACCUGGUUGGUGAGAGGUGGUCUCUGAUUGCUGGAAGAAUUCCUGGAAGAACAGCCGAGGAAAUUGAAAAGUACUGGACUUCAAGAUA